GAUGAACGCUGGCGGCGUGCCUAAUACAUGCAAGUCGAGCGAACAGAUGAGGAGCUUGCUCCUCUGACGUUAGCGGCGGACGGGUGAGUAACACGUGGAUAACCUACCUAUAAGACUGGGAUAACUUCGGGAAACCGGAGCUAAUACCGGAUAAUAUAUUGAACCGCAUGGUUCAAUAGUGAAAGACGGUUUUGCUGUCACUUAUAGAUGGAUCCGCGCUGCAUUAGCUAGUUGGUAAGGUAACGGCUUACCAAGGCAACGAUGCGUAGCCGACCUGAGAGGGUGAUCGGCCACACUGGAACUGGGACACGGUCCAGACUCCUACGGGAGGCAGCAGUAGGGAAUCUUCCGCAAUGGGCGAAAGCCUGACGGAGCAACGCCGCGUGAGUGAUGAAGGUCUUCGGAUCGUAAAACUCUGUUAUUAGGGAAGAACAAAUGUGUAAGUAACUGUGCACGUCUUGACGGUACCUAAUCAGAAAGCCACGGCUAACUACGUG
rnacentral:rRNA from 1 species